UGGGUAACCAAUCGUUUUGUCAAAAUCGUACUGCAAAGAGAGGCACCGCUCAGCGCUCACGUCCUGGCGCUAGGGUUUCCUCGCGGCGGCCCAGGUUCUCACAUCGAUGGGAUUGCGCCCGGAAGCCUGAAUCCAUUCUCCGAUGGAUUAUGUGCUGAUAAGAGAGAUGUAGCGGAGGAUGGGGUGUAUUUGCUGGACUCAAGCCGAUCUCACAGCCGCCGAGUAAGUGCAGGCUGCCGCGGAUUGGAGGUAAAAUGAUUUCUGCUCCAUUCAUCAAGUGUUAAAUUCAUCACUGAACCAGGAUGAUUUGAGUGGUCUUUUCGGUUGCUUGGAAGGAAUCUCAGUCAUCUAACCACAAGAUUUGAAAUUUCAGAGUAUAUCUGUCCAGAAGAAUGAUGCUUACAAAUUUAGCUUUUAGUGUUUCUGGAAUGCCAUUCUAUUUCUGUAAGAUACAAUACCAGCAGUUUGUCCUUAGUUCAGCAAGUUUCUGAGACUGAUAAUCUCCAAGAGAUCUUUCACAGAGUUCUAAUUCAAGGAGAGGUGGCACACCCCAUAUUUAAGAAGAUUUGGAAAUCAGCAGUGAUUCAGCGAUACCAAAUUUUACUGUUGGUUUCUGAUCCAAGAUAGGCUCAGCACAAGAAGUCUGCUUCUCAGGAAAUCAUUUCA